rnacentral:lncRNA from 1 species
CAAGUGGGAGGAAGUGUCACAGCUCUUUUAUUUCUGCCACCCACAGCUUGGUGAGUAGGAGCAUUACAGCUCUUUUGCUCCCACAGUUCAGCAAAUUCUGAGUUCCUGUCCCAUGACCAAGAGGAAUGAGGAACAUGGACACCGGAGAAUGAGUAAGGCAGAGUAGAAUUUUAUUCAUCAGCGAGAGGGGACCUGAAAGCAGGUCGCCAUCUGUGAGGCAUUGGUUACAUGAAAACCGUGUGACAACCUUGGAAGUCUGAAAGAGCAGGAGAGAGGCUAAGCACACACAUAUUGUGAUUUUAAGAGUCUCAAGGGCUGACACAAGCUGAGAUGAGGAAAUAUGACCUCCUACACGUGUUUUCCAUGAGGAAUAUGUUUGCUGUGCAGUCACUGAGUUAAAAGCAACCUUCAUUCCCUUGUGCACCAAGGUAGUGCCUCUCCAGAGCUGUAGAUGUCUUCCCAGGAUAUUCCAUCAUUCUACACAGCAUUUAAUUCUUGGAGCUCACAGUCCAAGACUGUUAUCAGUCCAUUUUCACUCUAUUGAUCAAGACAUACUCAAGACUGGGUAAUUUAUAAAGAAA